CAAAUUAUAGUUUAUUUAAAUAUUUUAUUUACAUUAAAAAGUUAAUUGUUAAUUCAGUUUAAUUUGA
rnacentral:tRNA from 1 species